rnacentral:rRNA from 1 species
UACAGAGGGUGCAAGCGUUAAUCGGAAUUACUGGGCGUAAAGAGCACGUAGGUGGUUAUUUAAGUCGGGUGUGAAAUUUCUGGGCUUAACCUGGAAUGGUCAUUCGAAACUGAAUAGCUAGAGUACAGUAGAGGAAAGUGGAAUUUCCGGUGUAGCGGUGAAAUGCGUAGAUAUCGGAAGGAACACCAGUGGCGAAGGCGGCUUUCUGGACUGAUACUGACACUGAGGUGCGAAAGCGUGGGGAGCGAACAGG